rnacentral:rRNA from 1 species
AUGAACGCUGGCGGAGUGCCUAAUACAUGCAAGUCGAGCGGUAACAGGGGUAGUUUACUACCUGCUGACGAGCGGCGGACGGCUGAGUAACACGUAGGAACAUGCCCCAAAGUGAGGGAUAACUGCCCGAAAGGGUAGCUAAUACCGCAUAUGGUCUUCGGAUUAAAGCUUUUAGCGCUUUGGGAGUGGCCUGCGUCCGAUUAGGUUGUUGGUGAGGUAAUGGCUCACCAAGCCUACGAUCGGUAGCUGGUCUGAGAGGAUGACCAGCCAGACUGGAACUGAGACACGGUCCAGACUCCUACGGGAGGCAGCAGUAAGGAAUCUUCCACAAUGGGGGCAACCCUGAUGGAGCAACUCCGCGUGCAGGACGAAGGCCUUCGGGUCGUAAACUGCUUUUAUAAGUGAAGAAUAUGACUGUAACUUAUGAAUAAGGAUCGGCUAACUACGUGCCAGCAGCCGCGGUCAUACGUAGGAUCCGAGCGUUAUCCGGAGUGACUGGGCGUAAAGAGUUGCGUAGGUGGUCAGUAAAGCGAAUAGUGAAAUCUGGUGGCUCAACCAUACAGACUAUUAUUCGAACUCACUGACUCGAGAGUAGCAGAGGUAACUGGAAUUUCUUGUGUAGGAGUGAAAUCCGUAGAUAUAAGAAGGAACACCAAUGGCGUAGGCAGGUCUACUGGGCUACUACUGACACUCGAGGCACGAAAGCGUGGGGAGCGAACAGGAUUAGAUACCCGGGUAGUCCACGCCCGUAAACGAUGGACACUAGUUGUUGGAGGUAUUGACACUCUCAGUAGCGAAGCUAACGCGUUAAGUCUACCGCCUGUGGAGUACGGUCGCAAGGACUAAAACAUAAAGGAAUUGACGGGGACCCGCACAAGCGGUGGAUCGUGUUGUUUAAUUCGAUGGUAAACGGAGAACCUUACCAGGGUUUGACAUCCUUGGAAUUUCUCCGAAAGUAGAUGUGCCAUUUGGAACCAAGUGACAGGUGCUGCAUGGCCGUCGUCAGCUCGUGUCGUGAGAUGUUUGGUUAAGUCCAUCAACGAGCGCAACCCUUAUAGUUAGUUGAAUUUUUCUAGCUAGACUGCCCUGGCAACAGGGAGGAAGGAGGGGAUGAUGUCAGGUCAGUAUUGCCCUUACACCUGGGGCUACAAACACGCUACAAUGGCCGGUACAAAGGGCUGCCAAGUCGCGAGACGGAGCAAAUCCCAUCAAAGCCGGUCCCAGUUCGGAUUGCAGGCUGAAACUCGCCUGCAUGAAGUCGGAAUCGCUAGUAACGGUAGGUCAGCUAUACUACCGUGAAUACGUUCCCGGGUCUUGUACACACCGCCCGUCAAACCAUGAAAGUCGCCAAUACCUGACGUGUGAGCUUUGCCUCGCCCUAAGGUAGGGGAGAUGAUUGGGGUU